GAUGAACGCUGGCGGCGUGCCUAGUACAUGCAAGUCGAGCGAACGGACGAGAAGCUUGCUUCUCUGAUGUUAGCGGCGGACGGGUGAGUAACACGUGGAUAACCUACCUAUAAGACUGGGAUAACUUCGUGAAACCGGAGCUAAUACCGGAUAAUAUUUUGAACCGCAUGGUUCAAAAGUGAAAGACGGUCUUGCUGUCACUUAUAGAUGGAUCCGCGCUGCAUUAGCUAGUUGGUAAGGUAACGGCUUACCAAGGCAACGAUGUAUAGCCGACCUGAGAGGGUGAUCGGCCACACUGGAACUGAGACACGGUCCAGACUCCUACGGGAGGCAGCAGUAGGGAAUAUUGCGCAAUGGGCGAAAGCCUGACGGAGCAAUGCCGCGUGAGUGAUGAAGGUCUUCGGGUCGUAAAACUCUGUUAUUGGGGAAGAACAUAUGUGUAAGUAACUGUGCACAUCUUGACGGUACCUAAUGAGAAAGCCACGGCUAACUACGUG
rnacentral:rRNA from 1 species